UACGUAGGGACCAAGCGUUGUUCGGAUUUACUGGGCGUAAAGGGCGCGUAGGCGGCAAAUUAAGUCAGCUGUGAAAUCUCCGAGCUUAACUCGGAACUGUCAGCUGAUACUGAUGUGCUAGAGUGCGGAAGGGGCAAUCGGAAUUCUUGGUGUAGCAGUGAAAUGCGUAGAGAUCAUGAGGAAGACCAGUGGCGAAGGCGGGUCUCUGGACAGUUCCUGACACUGAGACACGAAGGCCAGGGGAGCAAACGGG
rnacentral:rRNA from 1 species